AGAGUUUUUUGUUUAGGGAGGGAGUGGGCUUUUUCCUCAAUAGAUUGCUGCUACUGAUUGAUUUGCACCGCUGCCACGGCCUCCCUUUUCCCCUUAAGUGCGUUUGGGUGUGUGGGUGGCCUCGGGAGACUGGAGUCCCUUUCUUUCCACAUCCCCCUGCCGCCAGAGGAGAAGCAACUACUCGGAGCGGAGAUGAGGAGCGAGCCAUUGCUCCUACCUGGGUGAACACACUUCUGCUCCUGUGAAACAUGAAAUUCUACACCUUAAAUCUCCCUCCUCUCUCACCCGGCCCGUGCCUCCCCCGGCGUGGCGCCUUCUCUUCACUCGCAGUGAAGGGGGAACGGGCCUGGAGUGGAAAUGCGCGCACAGCCUCGAAUCCUUUCCUGCUGGUGAAGUUGUGGCUUCUUGCAUCCUGCUGGGAAGUAUGAAGCGCGUGUGCUGUCCCCGAGAACCAUGCUCCUGGCCUGCACACCCUUCUCCCAACCUGUGAAGUUGGUCGUGUGGCUGGCUCCAAGGCAGGAAGGGCUUGCUGGAAGGGUCUGGCAGAGGAAAGCUGCCCACAUCAGGUUGGCCAUGUUCACAGCAUGGUGGCCAUGAAGGGAGGUGUGAUGGAGGAAGAUACUGUAUACCCUUCCAAUUCACACCCCCAGUGCACACUCAGCCACUGAGCUCAUCACUGGAUGAAUCUACCCAUGAGUGUAGCACCCUCAUGAUCCAUCCACCCCUCAAACACAUGAGACUCAGGGGAGACAUUUCAGAUCCAACCCAUAAUAUAUGGUUCCUAGUUAUUUUUAUAUCUCCAGCUCAGCCCUUAGCACAUAGUAAGUGCUCAAAAAUAUUGGUCGGAUCAACAAGUAUUACCAAAUCACUCCUUUGAAUUAAGCUUAACUAGUAGACUAGCUCCUAUGACUAGCCUUAUGAUUAUCUGAUUGACUUUGAACAAACUACUUAACCACUGAGCUAAAUCCCUGGCUCUUCUGUCACUUUUUAAAUGAAGAAUUCACCUAUGUGAUAGCUGUAAAAUACUUUUGUUUAUCAUCAUGCGUAGAAAAAAAGAAAUCAUCUUAUUUGUAAUCAAUUGCAAC
rnacentral:lncRNA from 1 species